GGGGCACGUAAGGCACGUCCGGACUACUGUGGACUUUUGAUCCAUAGGUUCCGGGUUCGAGUCCCGGGCGGCCCACCA
rnacentral:tRNA from 1 species